rnacentral:piRNA from 1 species
AGAGGAUGUAGCUACAAGAUGGGUAG